CCCGCUGAACUUAAGCAUAUCAAUAAGCGGAGGACAAGAAACCAACAGGGAUUGCCUUAGUAACGGCGAGUGAAGCGGCAAGAGCUCAAAUUUGAAAUCUGAUACCUUUGGUGUCCGAGUUGUAAUUUGAAGAGGAUUCUUCGGUUGGGAUUGUGGCCUAUGUUCCUUGGAACAGGACGUCGUAGAGGGUGAGAAUCCCGUACACGGCUGACGAUCUCCGGCUAUGUGAUGGUCCUUCAAAGAGUCGAGUUGUUUGGGAAUGCAGCUCUAAAUGGGUGGUAAAUUUCAUCUAAGGCUAAAUAUUGGCGAGAGACCGAUAGCGCACAAGUAGAGUGAUCGAAAGAUGAAAAGCACUUUGAAAAGAGAGUUAAACAGUACGUGAAAUUGUUGAAAGGGAAGCGCUUGCAACCAGACUCGCUUUUGAUUGAUCAACGUUCCUUCUGGUUCGUGCACUCGGUCUUUUGCGGGCCAGCAUCAGUUAUAGCGGUGGGAUAAAGGCCUUUGGAAUGUGGCUCCUCCGGGAGUGUUAUAGCCUAUGGUGUAAUGCCACCGCUUUGACUGAGGACCGCGCUUCGGCUUGGAUGCUGGCUUAAUGGUUGUAAGCGACCCGUCUUGAAACACGG
rnacentral:rRNA from 1 species